AGCAGCCGCGGUAAUUCCAGCUCCAAUAGCGUAUAUUAAAGUUGUUGCAGUUAAAAAGCUCGUAGUUGAAUUUCGGGGUCUGUCCAUUGGUCGGGCUUCACGGUCCGUACUGGUGAGAUGGGUUCCUACCUUCUGAAUAACCGGCAUGCCAUUCAGUUGGUGUGCCGGGGAAGCAGAGCUAUUACCUUGAAAAAAUUAGAGUGCUUAAAGCAGGCUAUUGCUUGAAUAGAUUAGCAUGGAAUAAUAAAAUAGGACGGUAUGGUUCUAUUUUGUUGGUUUCUAGGAUCACCGUAAUGAUUAAUAGGGAUAGUUGGGGGCAUUAGUAUUCAAUUGUCAGAGGUGAAAUUCUUGGAUUUAUUGAAGACUAACUUCUGCGAAAGCAUUUGCCAAGGAUGUUUUCAUUAAUCAAGAACGAAAGUUAGGGGAUCGAAGACGAUCAGAUACCGUCGUAAUCUUAACCAUAAACUAUGCCGACUAGGGAUCGGACGAUGUUAAUUUUUUAAUGACUCGUUCGGCGCCU
rnacentral:rRNA from 1 species